GUAGGGUGCGAGCGUUAAUCGGAAUUACUGGGCGUAAAGCGUGCGCAGGCGGUUCGCCAAGUCAGGUGUGAAAUCCCCGGGCUUAACCUGGGAAUGGCGCUUGAAACUAUGGUGCUGGAGUGUGACAGAGGGAGGUGGAAUUCCACGUGUAGCGGUGAAAUGCGUAGAGAUGUGGAGGAACACCGAUGGCGAAGGCAGCCUCCUGGGUCAACACUGACGCUCAUGCACGAAAGCGUGGGGAGCAAACAGGAUUAGAUACCCUGGUAGUCCACGCCCUAAACGAUGACGACUAGUUGUUGGAGGAGUUAAAUCCUUCAGUAACGCAGCUAACGCGUGAAGUCGUCCGCCUGGGGAGUACGGUCGCAAGAUUA
rnacentral:rRNA from 1 species